CCUACGGGUGGCAGCAGUGAGGAAUAUUGGUCAAUGGACGCAAGUCUGAACCAGCCAUGCCGCGUGCAGGAAGACGGCUCUAUGAGUUGUAAACUGCUUUUGUACGAGGGUAAACGCAGAUACGCGUAUCUGUCUGAAAGUAUCGUACGAAUAAGGAUCGGCUAACUCCGUGCCAGCAGCCGCGGUAAUACGGAGGAUUCAAGCGUUAUCCGGAUUUAUUGGGUUUAAAGGGUGCGUAGGCGGUCGGAUAAGUUAGAGGUGAAAGCCCGAGGCUCAACUUCGGAAUUGCCUCUGAUACUGUUCGGCUAGAGAGCAGUUGCGGUAGGCGGAAUGCAUGGUGUAGCGGUGAAAUGCUUAGAGAUCAGACAGAACACCGAUUGCGAAGGCAGCUUACCAAGCUACUUCUGACGUUGAGGCACGAAAGCGUGGGGAGCAAACAGGAUUAGAUACCCGUGUAGUC
rnacentral:rRNA from 1 species